UACGAAGGGGGCUAGCGUUGCUCGGAAUUACUGGGCGUAAAGCGCACGUAGGCGGCUUUCUAAGUCGGGGGUGAAAUCCUGGAGCUCAACUCCAGAACUGCCUUCGAUACUGGAGAGCUCGAGUCCGGGAGAGGUGAGUGGAACUGCGAGUGUAGAGGUGAAAUUCGUAGAUAUUCGCAAGAACACCAGUGGCGAAGGCGGCUCACUGGCCCGGUACUGACGCUGAGACGCGAAAGCGUGGGGAGCAAAC
rnacentral:rRNA from 1 species